AGCGAACGCUGGCGGCAGGCUUAACACAUGCAAGUCGAGCGGGCAUCCUUGUGGUGUCAGCGGCAGACGGGUGAGUAACGCGUGGGAACGUGCCCUUCGGUUCGUAAUAACUCAGGGAAACUUGAGCUAAUACCGGAUACGUGCGAGAGCAGAAAGGUUUAUCUGCCGAAGGAUCGGCCCGCGUCUGAUUAGCUAGUUGGGGAGGUUAUGGCUCACCAAGGCGACGAUCAGUAGCUGGUCUGAGAGGAUGAUCAGCCACACUGGGACUGAGACACGGCCCAGACUCCUACGGGAGGCAGCAGUGGGGAAUAUUGGACAAUGGGGGCAACCCUGAUCCAGCCAUGCCGCGUGAGUGAUGACGGCCUUAGGGUUGUAAAGCUCUUUUCUUCGGGACGAUAAUGACGGUACCGGAGGAAUAAGCCCCGGCUAACUUCGUG
rnacentral:rRNA from 1 species